CAUACGGGAGGCAGCAGUGAGGAAUAUUGGUCAAUGGACGCAAGUCUGAACCAGCCAUGCCGCGUGCGGGAAGACGGCUCUAUGAGUUGUAAACUUCUUUUGUCCGAGGGUAAACGCAGAUACGCGUAUCUGUCUGAAAGUAUCGUACGAAUUAGGAUCGGCUAACUCCGUGCCAGCAGCCGCGGUAAUACGGAGGAUUCCAGCGUUAUCCGGAUUUAUUGGGUUUAAAGGGUGCGUAGGCGGUCGGAUAAGUUCGAGGUGAAAUUCCGAGGCUCAACUCCGGAAUUGCCUCUGAUACUGGGCGGCUAGAGAGUAGUUGCGGUAGGCGGAAUGUAUGGUGUAGCGGUGAAAUGCUUAGAGAUCAUACAGAACACCGAUUGCGAAGGCAGCUUACCAGGCUACUUCUGACGUUGAGGCACGAAAGCGUGGGGAGCAAACAGGAUUAGAUACCCCUGGUAGUC
rnacentral:rRNA from 1 species